GAUGAACGCUGGCGGCGUGCUUAACACAUGCAAGUCGAACGGAACUACUCCAAUGAGAGUCUUCGGAAGGGAUGUGGUUUAGUGUAGUGGCGGAGGGGUGAGUAACGCGUGGGUAACCUGCCCUAUACAGGGGGAUAACAGUUGGAAACGACUGUUAAUACCGCAUAAGCGCACAGGAGCGCAUGCUCCGGUGUGAAAAACUCCGGUGGUAUAGGAUGGACCCGCGUCUGAUUAGCUGGUUGGCGGGGUAACGGCCCACCAAGGCGACGUUCAGUAGCCGGCCUGAGAGGCUGCACGGCCACAUUGGGACUGAGACACAGCCCAAACUCCUACGCGAGGCAGCAGUGGGGAAUAUUGCACAAUGGGGGAAACCCUGAUGCAGCGACGCCGCGUGAGCGAAGAAGUAUCUCGGUAUGUAAAGCUCUAUCAGCAGAGAAGAAAAUGACGGUACCUGACAAAGAAGCCCCGGCUAACUACGUG
rnacentral:rRNA from 1 species